UACGUAGGCAGCAAGCGUUGCUCGGAGUUACUGGGCGUAAAGGGUGUGUAGGCGGUUAUUUAAGUUUGGUGUGAAAUCUCCCGGCUCAACCGGGAGGGUGCGCCGAAUACUGAAUGACUUGGAGUGCGGGAGAGGAAAGUGGAAUUCCUGGUGUAGCGGUGAAAUGCGUAGAUAUCAGGAGGAACACCGGUGGUGUAGACGGCUUUCUGGACCGUAACUGACGCUGAGACACGAAAGCGUGGGUAGCAAACAGG
rnacentral:rRNA from 1 species